GAUGAACGCUGGCGGCGUGCCUAAUACAUGCAAGUCGAGCGAACAGACGAGGAGCUUGCUCCUCUGACGUUAGCGGCGGACGGGUGAGUAACACGUGGAUAACCUACCUAUAAGACUGGGAUAACUUCGGGAAACCGGAGCUAAUACCGGAUAAUAUAUUGAACCGCAUGGUUCAAUAGUGAAAGACGGUUUUGCUGUCACUUAUAGAUGGAUCCGCGCCGCAUUAGCUAGUUGGUAGGGUAACGGCUUACCAAGGCAACGAUGCGUAGCCGACCUGAGAGGGUGUUCGGCCACACUGGACCUGAGCCACGGUCCAGCCUCCGACGGGAGGCAGCGGUAGGGAAUCUUCCGCAAUGGGCGAAAGCUUGCCGGAGCAACGCCGCGUGGGUGAUGAAGGUCUUCGGAUCGUAAAACUCUGUUAUAGGGAAGAACAAAUGUGUAAGUAACUAUGCACGUCUUGACGGUACCUAAUCAGAAAGCCACGGCUAACUACGUG
rnacentral:rRNA from 1 species